rfam:Chryseobacterium solincola strain DSM 22468 contig03, whole genome shotgun sequence.
GGUCUCUUAGCUCAGUUGGUAGAGCAAUGGAUUGAAAAUCCAUGUGUCCCUGGUUCGAUUCCUGGAGAGACCA